AGACAGUUCGGUCCCUAUCCGCCGUGGGCGCAGGAGACUUGAGGAGGGUUGACCCUAGUACGAGAGGACCGGGUUGAACGGCCCGCUAGUGUACCGGUUGUCACGCCAGUGGCAGCGCCGGGUAGCCAUGGCCGGUUUGGAUAAGCGCUGAAAGCAUCUAAGUGCGAAGCCAACUCCAAGAUAAGGUCUCCCACCGGGUUAACCGGGUAAGGGCCCUGGUAGACAACCAGGUUGAUAGGCCGGAGGUGUAAGAGGAGCAAUCCUUUGAGCUGACCGGUACUAAUAGCCCGAGGGCUUGUUCACCUAUAACUCACUCU
rnacentral:rRNA from 1 species